GCCCUAGUAGCUUAAUACAAAGCAUCAGCCUUGUAACCUGAAGAUUAGAGACUCAAACCUUUCUAGCGCU
rnacentral:tRNA from 1 species